CCUACGGGUGGCAGCAGUCAGGAAUCAUUCUCAAUGGGCUAAACCCUGAUGUUGCGACGCCGCGUGGGGGAAUAAAGCUCUUCGGGUUGUAAACCCCUGUCAUGUGGGAGCAAAUUAAAACGCUAGUACCACAAGAGGAAGAGCCGGCUAACUUUGUUCCAGCAGCCGCGGUAAUACAGAGGUCUUAAGCGUUGUUCGUAAUCGCGGGGCGUGGAGCGUUCGUGGGCUGGUUCGUAAGGCGUGUGGGAAAGUCGCGGGGCCAAACCGCGGACGGCAGAUUAUACUGCGAGACUAGAGUAAGGGAGGGGGAAGCGGAAUGCUUGGUGUAGCAGUGAAAUGCGUAGAUAUCGAGAGGAACACUCGUGGCGAAGGCGGGUUCCUGGA
rnacentral:rRNA from 1 species